AGCGAACGCUGGCGGCAGGCUUAACACAUGCAAGUCGAGCGGGCAUCCUUGUGGUGUCAGCGGCAGACGGGUGAGUAACGCGUGGGAACGUGCCCUUCGGUUCGGAAUAACUCAGGGAAACUUGAGCUAAUACCGGAUACGUGCGAGAGCAGAAAGGUUUAUCUGCCGAAGGAUCGGCCCGCGUCUGAUUAGCUAGUUGGUGAGGUUAUGGCUCACCAAGGCGACGAUCAGUAGCUGGUCUGAGAGGAUGAUCAGCCACACUGGGACUGAGACACGGCCCAGCCCCCUGCGGGAGGCAGCCGUGGGGAUUUGGGGCAGGGGGGGGAACCCUUGACAACCCCGUGCCGCGGGAAGGUUGACGCCGUUAGGGUUGAAAGACUCUCUUCUCGGGGACGAAAAGGCAGCUGCGGGAGAAAUAGGCACGGGCUACCUUCGUC
rnacentral:rRNA from 1 species